AAAACUACAUAGUUUUGAAUAUUUAAAUCAAUUUUUUUUUUCAUUAUCUAAUUCCUAAAUCAGUUUGAGCUUCAUUUUUCAUUGUUUCAACUCCUCACUCAUUCCCAAUCAGAAACACAGCCUUAGCCACCAUCUCCAUUCACUUCGUCCCUUGUUCACUGCCAAUCAAAACCAACUUUAUUGCCUCUUCUCUCGCAUUUCACCCACCACCAAGUUUGCUUCCUCAUCUCUUGCAUUUUGUGGUCCAAUCGAACAACACAAGAAUUAGUUACAGAAUGCAAAUGUACAUGACAUUACAAGACGGCAACAAGAAGAAUUUCUUAUGUGGUUCAAAGAGCGGAUAAAUCAAUUACGAGCUGAAGGAUCAUCGGAAGCAAUUGAUGUCAUUAGCUAAUGGUCCUAGUUCAAUAGUGAAUAUUUAUUCGGGUUGUAUUUGUAAUGGAAUUCGAUUCCAUACCAAAGAUUGAGACAACCGUCGUAAAAGUCAAAAUAGUGGAUUGGUCAUUCAAGGGGAUCAUCAGGGUAUGUCAAUUGAUUUCUAUGGUCACUUGACUAAAGUUUGGGAAAUGACAUACAUGUUUGGGCAUCGAGUUGUGUUGUUUCAAUGUGAAUGGUUUAACACUGGUAGCAACAGGACAUUUCGCACUGAAACACAUCUAACAACCAUUGAUGUAAGAAGUCAUUGGUAUCAAAAUGACCCAUUUGUCUUGCCAAGUCAAGUGCAGCAAGUUUUGUAUGUCAAUGAUACCAAAAUUAGGUGAACAUUGGCAAGUUGUGGAGUGACUUCAACGUCAAGGAAUAUGGAAUGUGCCGAAACUUAAGGAUGUAGAUCCCAAUAAUAAUGAAUUGCCUAUUCUGAAUGAUGUGUUCUAGCAAGACGAGACCACUGAAAUUGUCCAAAUCACUAUUGCAGAUUCCAUUAGCAACACUUUAUGUAGGACCGAUAUUGCACCUGAUAUUAUUCCAAGCGAAGUGGUUUUGCAAUCUGGUAAAGGUGUAUAUGUAGAGGCUACAAACAUGGAUGAUUUUAUCUAUGAUGAUGAUAAUGAUCAAAAUUCAAAUGAUCCUAGUGAUGAUGAAGAUGAAUUUCGUAGUCAUAGUGACUCAGAUAUGGAUUUUGAUAUAGAGCCCAGAUUGUAAUGUCGUUUACUGAUCACAUUAUCAAGUCAUUUUGAUUGUAAUGGCAUGCACUUGUUAAUGAAGUCAUGUUUAGUUAUGAUUCAAAUUGUAAUGAAUUUUUUUGUUGAUAAUUUCAUUACUUGUAAUGUAGUUGUAAUA